CAGCAGCCGCGGGAACACGUAGGGCGCAAGCGUUACCCGGAAUUAUUGGGCGUAAAGAGUUCGUAGGCGGUUUGUCGCGUCUGCCGUGAAAGUCCGGGGCUCAACCCCGGAUCUGCGGUGGGUACGGGCAGACUAGAGUGAUGUAGGGGAGACUGGAAUUCCUGGUGUAGCGGUGAAAUGCGCAGAUAUCAGGAGGAACACCGAUGGCGAAGGCAGGUCUCUGGGCAUUAACUGACGCUGAGGAGCGAAAGCAUGGGGAGCGAACAGGAUUAGAUACCCCCGUAGUCCCUGUCUCUUAUAU
rnacentral:rRNA from 1 species